rnacentral:rRNA from 1 species
CUAUCGGGGUUGAGACUAAGCAAUGCAAGUCGUGCGUCUCAAGCCAUGGUGAGACGCGGCACACGGCUCAGUAACACGUGGCCAACCUACCCUUAGGACGGGGACAACCCCGGGAAACUGGGGCUAAUCCCCGACAGGCGAGGAGGCCUGGAAUGGUUCUUCGCUCAAAGGGCGUCGGGGGCACGCUUCCCAGCGUCGCCUAAGGAUGGGGCCGCGGCCGAUCAGGUUGUUGGUGAGGUAACGGCCCACCAAGCCUUUAACCGGUACGGGCCAUGAGAGUGGGAGCCCGGAGAUGGGCACUGAGACAAGGGCCCAGGCCCUACGGGGUGCAGCAUGCGCGAAACCUCCGCAAUGCGCGAAAGCGUGACGGGGUUACCCCGAGUGCCGUCCGCUGAGGAUGGCUUUUCUCCUGUGUAAGGAGCCGGAGGAAUAAGGGGAGGGCAAGACUGGUGUCAGCCGCCGCGGUAAUACCAGCUCCCCGAGUGGUAGGGACGAUUAUUGAGCUUAAAGCGUCCGUAGCCGGCCUGACAAGUCUUCCGUUAAAUCCAGCGACUCAAUCGCUGGGCCGCGAAAGAUACUGUCAGGCUAGGGGGCGGAAGAGGCCGACGGUAUUCCCGGAGUAGGGGUGAAAUCCUAUAAUCCCGGGAGGACCACCAGUGGCGAAGGCGGUCGGCUAGAACGCGCUCGGCGGUGAGGGACGAAAGCUGGGGGAGCGAACCGGAUUAGAUACCCGGGUAGUCCCAGCUGUAAACGAUGCGGGCUAGGUGUCGGGGCGGCCACGAGCCGCUUCGGUGCCGCAGGGAAGCCGUUAAGCCCGCCGCUUGGGAAGUACGGCCGCAAGGCUGAAACUUAAAGGAAUUGGCGGGGGAGCACCACAAGGCGUGAAGCUUGCGGUUCA